AUGACUAGGGAUAAACUUAGGAAGAGACACAUCAUCAAACCCCUUGAUUGUGUUUACUGCUUGGAACAAGAGUCUUGUUCUCACCUAUUUUUUGAAUGUAUUGUUGCUAAACAUCUCUUGGCCCACAUUGAGGAAUAUUUCUCUAGUCAGAUUGGCUCAUCCUUUGAAUUUGUUGCCAGAUUCUGGAUUGCUACCAAAAAGUGCUCAGUUUUAAACAUUGUUAGCUCAGCUGUCCUUUGGUGCCUCUGAAAAUAUAGAAAUGCUAUGAUUUUCAGUAACACCUCUUGGAUUUCCAUUCCGCAAGUCUUGAGGUUGAUCAGGAACAUGGUGAGGAACUGGGCAAUUCUCUCCUCCGGAUCGGACAAGGACAAGUUGAUGAGCUUCUUGGAAACCCUAACAAGAUCCCUCCAGAAACUGUUGGCGAUCACUUGUGGCUGA
rnacentral:rRNA from 1 species